CCUAUAUUGUUUUAUAUUUCUUCAAUUUUGUUUUGUGGUCGCUGGAGGUGUUUUUUUCUUGGAUUCCCUGCCGAGUGCUUCCACAGCUGCUCCACGUAAUCUGCCCAAGACUCUUGCUGCAUUCAGUUGAACACACACCAGGAAGCUCUUCAGUCCCCAGCCGACCACACAAAGAUCCGUUCUCAUCCCCAGGGGAGCUGGUCUCGCCACUCCAUCCCUGGACAGCUCCAGUUGGCGUGAGCGCAACCACCCGCGGCAUAAUUAAGAGCGCUGGGGGGGGGCGGGCAGAAAGACAGACAGUCUCCCGUGGGAGUGCGGGCGGGCGUGCGUGCAACGGAAAUCCCGCCUUCCGGCGCCCGCGGUUGGCCCUGGCCGCAGCCCGUGAGCGCCCAGCAGGAAGAUAAACGGGAUUGCGGGAAGCGGGAGAGUCCGGAGGAGCCGCUAAGGGCUUCUCUUCCCCUUCGGCUGCGCCCGCGGAGCAGCCCCGUUGCGAUUGGCCGUACGCCGGGGGGCGGUAGUCCCGCGUCCGCCCGCCCCUCGGGCCGCGAGAGGCGCCGGGAUCGUGGGCGCGGGCUGAGCCAGCGGCUGCUGUGUGGCUGUGUCCGCAAGCCGGCGGGGCGAGGCGGCCCGGCCCAGCGCGUCAGGCCUGAGAACUGGGAGGAAGCUGGAGAAAAGAUGCCCUCUGAAUCUUUCUGUUUGGCUGCCCAGGCUCGACUUGACUCCAAAUGGUUGCAAACAGAUAUACAGAUGAUAGUGUUGAACAAAGUGGAACAAAGAAAGAAGAUCUGAAUGACAGAGAGAAAAAAGAUGAAGAAGAAACUCCUACACCUGUAUAUAGCACCAAGUGAAUUCUGGACAGCUGGGUAUGGGGCAAGCAACCAGAUGUGAAUGAACUGAAGGAGUGUCUUUCUGUGCUGGUUAAAGAGCAGCAGGCCCUGGCCAUCCAGUCAGCCACCACCACUCUCAGCCCUGUGACUCAAGCAGAGGCUGGUAAUCUUGGAGCACUGUUUCAUUGCCUUGAACCAUUUUUCAGGAGAAUGUCAAAGUUAACUGGAAAAGCAGCGGCAUUUCUCUGCCUCCUGUGGACAAAAAAAGUUCCCAGCCUGUGAGCAAAGGUGUGGAGGGGCUCGCCAGAGUGGGAUCCCGAGCGGCGCUGUCUUUUGCCUUUGCCUUCCCGCGUAGGGCUUGGCGAUCAGGUACGGUCCCUGGUGUGGCGCAUUGUUCUGCUUCCCUAACACAUCAACAGACUGGGUUUCGAGCUCGGUUCAGCCACCGUGUGCCCUUCAGCUGAUCCCAUGUGCUCUCUGUGCCUCAGUUUCCUUGCUUGUGAGAUGAGAGGCUGCAGAGGCUGGCUUUUCCAUCUGUGCUUUAAAAAAAAAAAAAAAAAACAGAGUGCAUGCACCCCCACCCCCACGUCAACCACUACCACAGACUUAAUUCUAGAAGUACAGACUUAAUUCUAGAAGAACAAGAAGUUAGUGUAUUGCUUAUGUGACAGCCGUGAAAUACAGAGUUGACUGAAACAGCUGCGCUAGAUUUUGGCCUGUUGAGUGAGGGAUUGGAAAGGUGACAGUGGCAUCAUCUCUCGCUGAGGGGUGGGAAGCCCAGCAGGAGAGUGAGGGGAGUAGGCAGGCUCCUCUGACAAGUGUGCGCCCAGGCGAGGAUGCGGACCUCUGCAGUGAGCUGUUGCAGGAGUCCCUGGAUGCCCGAUGAGCACUUCCCGAGGCCUCGCUCUUUGACGAGAGCACCAUGUCCUCUGUGUGGCUGGAGGUGGUGGAGAGAGUGACCAGGUUCCUCAGGUCUGUCGUAACAGGGGAUGUUCACGGAACGCCAGGCACCAAAGGGCCAGAAGCAUCCACCUGCAGGACCAGCACUUGGCCCUGGCCAUCCUGCUGGAGCUGGCUGUGCAGAGAGGGACGCUGAGCCUCCCAAUGUUGUCUGCCAUCCUGUUGUUGCUUCAGCUGUGGGACAGCGGGGCCCAGGAGAUGGAAAAUGAGCGUUCCACCGCCCAGGGCACCAGUGCCCCACUUUUGCCCUUGCUGCAAAGGUUCCAGAGCAUCAUUUGCAGGAAGGAUACACCCCACUCCGAGGGCGACAUGCACAUGAGUGUCAUGAUGGAACUUUGUGUGUAGGUGGCACUCGAGUCUAGUUAUUUUUUAAGCAAGACCAGCGUGCGUGUCCACGGCAGUAUUUUUCUCUGGCGUGUGUGUGUUUGGUGGUAACAGCAUCAAGUCAGAUGAGACAGGUGUGAGAGGCCACUUGUUUGUGGAGAAGACUCGGAUCAGUGAACACUGACUUCCUUGUCAGCAGAGAACCAAGCUUGAAACGUGCACUUUUAAAUCAAUACCAGAAAAGAACAAUGAAAAUAGUGGCCUGCUUUGUUGGCCCUUCCUAUGUACUGGGCUCUGUGCAGGGCAUGUCACCUGAGCUGUCGCUCUGUUUAGUACCAGCUCCCCACUUAACAG